CUUGGCUGAACAUAAGCCAGCAGUGUGCCCAGGUGGCCAAGAAGGCCAAGGGCAUCCUGGCUUGUAUCAGAAACAGUGCUGCCAGCAGGAACAGGGAAGUAAUUGUCCCCCUGUACUCAGCACUGGUGAGUACACGAGUACUCGAGUGUACACGAGUACUGUGUCCAGUUUUGGGCUCCUCACUGUAAGAAAGACAUUGAGGCCCUGGAGCGUGUUCAAAGAAGGGCAACAAAGCUGGUGAGGGGUCUGGAGCACAGGUCUUAUGAGGAGCAGCUGAAGGAGCUGGGAUUGUUCAGUCUGGAGAAGAGGAGGCUCAGGGGAGACCUUAUUGCUCUCUAUAACUACCUGAAGGGAGGUGGUAGUGAGCUGUGGGUCGGCCUCUUCUCCUGUGUAACUAGUGAUAGGACUAGAGGGAAUGGUUUCAAGCUGCGCCAGAGAAGGUUCAGGCUGGACGUUAGGAAAUGCUACUUCUCUGAAAGGGUGGUCAGGCACUGGAAUGGGCUGCCCAGAGAGGUGGUGGAGUCACCGAGCCUGGUGGUGUUCAAAGAACAUUUGGAUGUUGUGCUGAGGGACAUGGUUUAGUGAGAACCAUUGGUGAAAGGCGAAUGGUUGGACUGGAUGAUCUUGUGGGUCUUU
ensembl:lncRNA